GACAACUUGGCCGAGUGGUUAAGGCGAUCGCCUGCUAAUUAUCAGAUUAGCGGUUGGGUUUUACCCGCGCAGGUUCGAAUCCUGCAGUUGUCG
rnacentral:tRNA from 1 species